CCGAUUGAAUGGCUCAGUGAGGCGUUCGGACUGGCCCAGAGAGGUGGGCAACUACCACUCAGGGCCGGAAAGUACUCCAAACUCGGUCAUUUAGAGGAAGUAAAAGUCGUAACAAGGUCUCCGUUGGUGAACCAGCGGAGGGAUCAUUA
rnacentral:rRNA from 1 species